ACAUUUUGAAAUGUUUCAAAAUUGCUGUUGGAGAAUAUGUACAUAUAACUAACAUAAAAAGUUAGAAAAAGUCAGAAUUUUUGCAACACUGACAACCACUGGAACAGGAACCCGAUGGCAGGGACGACGCCCCUGUGGAUGGCAGGUCGCGUUCUGCCCGCCCAAGUGGGUGGGUCACAGGCACCGGCAACCUCCGAGUCCCGCGCAGCGUUUCAAUUAGCGAGUACGGGCACUGGGUGGCGCCCAAAACGAGUGCCGCACCGCCGGACUGGCUCUUUGUGAUUUUUGCCAAGAACGCGGCCAAGAACCUCUGCAGCAACAGCACAUUCAAAUAGACAGACACGUGUCCAUCAGCGGUUUAACCCUUCUUAAGGUAACGCCCAAGGAUUACCAGGCGACCAGCAACCGCAGUGGGCAACCCACGGCAGUUCGCUGCCAUUGCGCAUGUCGCCCACUAGGGCGUGAUCUACGGGGCGGAGUAAAGCGUACGUACGGCCUGCCCCGCUGGCCCACCCACCGAGUGGGCUGGCUUCUUUCACGUUACCAUUGUCGAGGCUAUUACAUAACGGUAACAUUCGGCAGCAGCGCUGCCGACAGUCCAAACCGGUUAACAGUUACGUCGUAACUAGGAGCAACCUUAGUGCACCAGGCGAACAGAACCGCCAGCCGGAGCGGCAUUACUACGUCUUUAUAUUGAUGCACCCCGGUGGGUUUCAGCCACAACUGCGGUUAGUAAUUUAGCACAAAUUGUUUAAUUUCACAUUUGAAAUAUGUCUCUUGGUGUUAAGGGUAUCAUACAGUAGAGCAUAGAAUUUGAGAAACACCGCAUUUCAUUUCUACGCCUUAUGAAAUCGAGGGAAUCAAAGCUGACUGCUUGAAACCUUUCGGAAAAGUUUUUUUGUAAGUUCGGUUGUGCGGUUAGUAAUUUAGCACAAAUUGUUUAAUUUCACAUUUGAAAUAUGUCUCUUGGUGUUAAGGGUAUCAUACAGUAGAGCAUAGAAUUUGAGAAACACCGCAUUUCAUUUCUACGCCUUAUGAAAUCGAGGGAAUCAAAGCUGACUGCUUGAAACCUUUCGGAAAAGUUUUUUUUGCAUUGCUGUGACUUUAUUAUCUUGAACGCAACUGUUUGUGGCUGCUGGCAAUUUAGGGGUUGCUCUUGCGGCUGCAUUAAGUGCGCGACUCCUGCUCAAGGUCGCGUCUCACACACACGUACAUACGCUCUCAUACAGAGAACGAAAGCGCGGUCCUGUGUCUUUGAUUUCGCCCUUGUGAGUGUGGCAGCUUCUCUCACACUUGACAGAUUUCAGUGUGUGUGCUCAGGCGACACGUGUAUACGUCCGUCACAUACUCGUACACAUUCUUUCGUGGUAGAUUUCGUACCAGGAGAGCAUAAUCCUGUGGAACGCAUCAACAUGUCAGCAUAAUUUGGACUGUUCAACGCACAGCCGCCCAUGUGUGCGGCUAAUGGAAUCAGUUAUAGUGCGGAACGCACACCCAUGCGGGUAAACAUGCCUGUAUGUAAGGUGUUCCCUGCCUCACAAGAGUGACUGCUACCCUUCAGCCCUCAUCGCGUAUACGCAAUGGCUGCAAAAGCUCGAAAAGCUUAGCGAAGCUUACGGCCGGGUUCUGGAAUAGGAUAAUGACCAUCAGAGAAGAUAAAAAAAUAAUUUAUUCAACUUGUAACUAAGUAUUUUAAUUUUUCCAUAACCUAAUUUGAGUAAUGGACAGUAUUUAACAAAAUAUAAUUUCUUGAAUAAUUUACAAAAGUUAGCUUACUUAAAGAAUAAAAUUUCUCAAAUAAAGUCAA